ensembl:vault_RNA Vault Vault RNA
GCACUGGUUUAGCUCAGAGGUUACUUCAACUGUCAUUCUCUCUGAAGAAUUUGCUGAUCUCAUCCCUCCCUGGGAUCGAACCUCAAGUGCUGUUUAGUGUUUUU